rnacentral:rRNA from 1 species
CCUACGGGAGGCAGCAGUAGGGAAUAUUGCUCAAUGGGGGAAACCCUGAAGCAGCAACGCCGCGUGGAGGAUGAAGGUUUUCGGAUUGUACACUCCUUUUGUUAGAGAAGAUAAUGACGGUAUCUAACGAAUAAGCACCGGCUAACUCCGUGCCAGCAGCCGCGGUAAUACGGAGGGUGCAAGCGUUACUCGGAAUCACUGGGCGUAAAGGGCGCGUAGGCGGGAUAGCAAGUCAGAUGUGAAAUCCUAUGGCUUAACCAGAGAACUGCAUUUGAAACUGUUAUUCUAGAGUAUGGGAGAGGUAGGUGGAAUUCUUGGUGUAGGGGUAAAAUCCGUAGAGAUCAAGAGGAAUACUCAUUGCGAAGGCGACCUGCUAGAACGUAACUGACGCUGAUGCGCGAAAGCGUGGGGAGCAAACAGGAUUAGAUACCCCUGUAGUC